UUUAAGUGCAACCAUAAUUUUUCACGCUCAACUUUGAUCGUCUGUUCUAUUUAAUUUUUUUAUAUAAUUAGUGUUUUUAUUGUUAUAAGAUGAUAAAACAAGAAUAAUACCUUACUCAUGACAUAUGUUUUUAUUUUUUAUUAAAUAAGAUGAACGGUUAAAGUUAAGUAUGAAAAACUAUACCUACACUUAAA
rfam:Oryza glaberrima chromosome 7 Oglab07_0147_32, whole genome shotgun sequence.